AAGACUAUACUUUCAGGGAUCGUUUCUAUAGUUCGUUACUAGAGAACUUCCUUUGAACAUGUAGAGCACUGGAAACCACGAGGAUAAGGCACAGCGUUUUCUCCUGAGCAUGAAGCCAGCUCUUAGUGCUGCUUUGCUGUGGCUGAAUUGGCCAUUGAUGACUGUUCUUCUCCUCCUCUGAGAGAGUGGAGGAAGAGGACGCAGUCUGAGUGAA
rnacentral:snoRNA from 1 species